rnacentral:lncRNA from 1 species
GCUGAUGCUGUUGGCUGGGGUCCUGACUUUGAGAGCCACCACCUUUACCCGUGUCCAGCCUGAAGCUGUCCUCUGGACGCCUUGCCUGACCUCUGAAUCCUACAUGUCCGCUGCGCCUGGCGUUCCUCCUGACCUGACUUUUGACCUCGUCCUCCCACCUAAACCCUCUCGUCUCCUCUGAGCUCCCGUGACCCCAGGCUGCCUGUGACCCCCGUGGCUAGGGCCCUCCUGCCCAGCCCUGCCCGGCCCCUCUACAGGCCUCACUUGGUCCUCUGUCUGUCCCAGGUGCUUGUCAGAGGAUCACCGAGGGCCCUUCUCUGGUGUCCAGCGGAGGGGCUGUGGGGGCACACAGGCCCUCGGCUCCCCCCGCCUCCCCAGGGCCUCUUACACACCAGGGAACGGCGCACAUCAGGAGAGUGUCCAGUCCACAGAGUCUCCACUGGGCCCAGGACAGGCACGAGUGUCCCCCGGGUCUCCUGUGCCAGAGUCCCGCUGUCUCCCCGGGGCUCAGCUUCUACAUCUGGCGGUGAUGCUCUCGGCGGCCAGACUCAGAAGGCCCAGCGGCCAGUGGCUGAAGCCCCGGGAGGCAGGUGUCCUGUGUACUUCCUCAGAAGUCUGCAGGUGACACGGUCGCUGACUCUGGGCAGAGGUGGCUUCUGCCAUCCUUUGACCUUGAUCUCGGGACCAUGAGGGGGCAGCCCUGGGGCCCACCGAGGCCGAGCCUUCCUCUCCUGUGAAGCAGGAGGUGACCUGCUCCCUGCCGAGUCCCCCCAGUCCCCCCAUCCCGCCCUAGGCGGGAAGUUC